UCCUUGUCGGGUAAGUUCCGACCUGCACGAAUGGCGUAACGACUUCUCAACUGUCUCAACCAUAGACUCGGCGAAAUUGCACUACGAGUAAAGAUGCUCGUUACGCGCGGCAGGACGAAAAGACCCCGGGACCUUCACUAUAGCUUGGUAUUGGCGUUUGGUUCGGUUUGUGUAGGAUAGGUGGGAGACUGUGAAGCAGGCACGCCAGUGUUUGUGGAGUCAUCGUUGAAAUACCACUCUGAUCGUAUUGAACCUCUAACCUCGGACCGUAUAUCCGGUCCAGGGACAGUGCCUGGUGGGUAGUUUAACUGGGGCGGUUGCCUCCCAAAAUGUAACGGAGGCGCCCAAAGGUUCCCUCAACCUGGACGGCAAUCAGGUGUUGAGUGCAAGUGCACAAGGGAGCUUGACUGCGAGACCUACAAGUCAAGCAGGGACGAAAGUCGGGACUAGUGAUCCGGCACCUCUGAGUGGAAGGGGUGUCGCUCAACGGAUAAAAGGUACCCCGGGGAUAACAGGCUGAUCUUCCCCAAGAGUCCAUAUCGACGGGAUGGUUUGGCACCUCGAUGUCGGCUCGUCGCAUCCUGGGGCUGGAGCAGGUCCCAAGGGUUGGGCUGUUCGCCCAUUAAAGCGGCACGCGAGCUGGGUUUAGAACGUCGUGAGACAGUUCGGUCUCUAUCCGCCGCGCGCGUCAGAAACUUGAGGAAACCUGUCCCUAGUACGAGAGGACCGGGACGGACGAACCUCUGGUGUACCAGUUGUUCCACCAGGAGCACGGCUGGAUAG
rnacentral:rRNA from 1 species